AAGGCAGCUUGAGGACUUGGUGUCUCAUUAUGUUGCCCUUUGCAGGAAGCUUCUGUCGAACUGCGAAGGCAGGCAGGGGACCCCGGCGAGCCCAGAGAAGAGCUUCCCUCCGCAGUCCGGGCCGAGGAGGGACAGUCCACGCCGAGACAAGCAGAUGCCCAGUGUCGGGAAGGCAGCCCAGGAUCACAGCAGCACCCACCGAGUCAGAAGGCACCGAACCCACCCACAUUCUCUGAACUAUCUCACUGCCGGGGAGCCCCAGAGCUGCCCCGGGAGGGCCGGGGCCGAGCGGGAACCCUACCUCGAGAUUAUAGAUACUCGGAGGAGAGCACCCCAGCAGACUUGGGACCCCGAGCCCAGAGCCCUGGCUCACCCCUGCAUGCUCGAGGACAAGACUCGUGGCCAGUGAGCUCAGCCCUGCUCUCCAAGAGGCCAGCCCCACAGAGGCCACCGCCACCCAAGCGCGAGCCCAGGAGAUACAGGGCCACAGACGGCGCACCUGCUGACGCCCCCGUGGGCGUCCUCGGCAGGCCCUUCCCAACGCCAUCCCCUGCGUCCCUGGAUGUGUAUGUGGCCCGCCUGUCCCUCUCCCACAGCCCCUCUGUGUUCAGCAGUGCCCAGCCCCAGGACACCCCGAAGGCCACUGUCUGUGAGCGUGGAAGCCAGCAUGUGAGCGGGGACGCAUCACGUCCUCUGCCAGAAGCACUGCUCCCUCCCAAGCAGCAGCACCUGCGCCUGCAGACGGCCACCAUGGAGACCUCGCGCUCCCCCUCGCCCCAGUUCGCCCCCCAGAAACUGACGGACAAACCUCCCCUGCUCAUCCAGGAUGAGGAUUCAACCAGAAUUGAGCGGGUG
rnacentral:lncRNA from 1 species